CGUUUCCUUCUGCUCCUGCUACAAAACUGAAUUCAACUGUGUGGCCAAGAAGCCUGGAGGUUUGCACCUCUCUGCAGAGCAGUGCGAGGCCACGGACAAUACUGCUGCUGGUAGCGGGGAGGCUGCUUUGGUUUUGGUAGCCCCAAGUGCUUGCCAGCAAGAGAAACGUUGAGCGUUAAACUGAGUGUGUCUGAAGCAUCUGCUUACUGCAAAAACACUGAGUUUUUCAAGUCUCAGCAAGACCAUGGACUGAAGAUUUCACCUGGCGACUCAUCUUCUCCUGCCAAAGUGAUUUUCACAGUGAGAAAAC